rnacentral:sRNA from 3 species
UGUAUCUGAAGUCUGACGAGGAUGAGAACCUCCGGGGGCAAGAGGUUCGACUCGAGCGAAGCGAGAGAACGUUGCGUCAGCAACGGCCCGCAGGGCGAGCCACGCAGUGGCGAGUCAUCCUCUA